GUUUUGAGGCGCGGUACGUCGUCCUUUUUCGCCUCAGAACGUCUGAGCGUGUGAUUACAGACUAUGACGAAGAGGAUGUGAUGGUCUCAUUACUUCUGAUUGUGGCAUUUGAUCCUGAGAUGUGAGGUACACAGGGACGACUCCCAGUCAGCUGGGUGUCAUCGCAUUAUCAACAGCCACCUCUGAUGGAAAUCCCGAUGUGAUGUUGCGCUGAACUUGCUUGGAGCCCUCAGCAGGGAAAUCGCCAAUCAAGGUGCCACGGCGAUGGACAGAUGCACCAGUCCAAAGCUUGCAAGAAGUGUGCUGGUGAUGAAAGUAAGCAACACCUGCAUGUGAGUAACGCUGUGUUACUUGACUGUAUUGGUCAUAUACCAAGGCUUUCAGGUAGUUACGUUCCUGACUUGCUGUGGACUUGACCAGAAAUCAAAACCAUCCCAGUCGGCUUCUGCAGCAGUCUGCUGAGACAACCUGUUGGGAACACACCGCAGUUUAUUUUACUUUAUUUGGACAAAUAGUGUGUACCUAAUCCUCGAUUCUUUGUAUUUCACAGGACAUGAGAGACGUGAGAUUUGAGUGUCAUUAGUUCAUUGCAUACUACAUUAAAUGUCAUUAAAUCCACAAGACAAAC